UACGAGAGGGCCGCUACCACGCAAGUGGAUGCCAAUCCCCAAAACCUCUCUCAGUUCGGAUUGAAGUCUGCAACCCGACUUCAUGAAGCUGGAUUCGCUAGUAAUCGCGCAUCAGCCACGGCGCGGUGAAUACGUUCCCGGGCCUUGUACACACCGCCCGUUAAGCCAUGGGAGCCGGGGGUACCUGAAGUGCGUAACCGCAAGGAGCGCCCUAGGGUAAAACUGGUGACUGGGGCUAAGUCGUAACAAGGUAGC
rnacentral:rRNA from 1 species